AAAUGAAUUGACGGGGACCCGCACAAGCAGUGGAGUAUGUGGUUUAAUUCGACGCAACGCGAAGAACCUUACCAGGGCUUGACAUAAUACCGAAUAUGCUAGAGAUAGUAUAGUCCUUCGGGACGGUAUUACAGGUGGUGCAUGGUUGUCGUCAGCUCGUGUCGUGAGAUGUUGGGUUAAGUCCCGCAACGAGCGCAACCCUCGUCUUUAGUUGCCAUCAUUAAGUUGGGCACUCUAGAGAGACUGCCGGUGACAAAUCGGAGGAAGGUGGGGAUGACGUCAAAUCAUCAUGCCCCUUAUGCCCUGGGCUACACACGUACUACAAUGGCUAUUACAGAAGGAAGCGAAGCCGUAAGGUGGAGCAAAUCCCAAAAGAUAGUCUCAGUUCGGAUUGUGGGCUGAAACUCGCCCACAUGAAGUCGGAAUUGCUAGUAAUUGCAGGUCAGCAUACUGCAGUGAAUACGUUCCCGGGUCUUGUACACACCGCCCGU
rnacentral:rRNA from 1 species